rnacentral:tRNA from 1 species
UCCCCUGUAGCUCAAUUGGCAGAGCAUUUGGCUGUUAACCAAAGGGUUCCUGGUUCGAGUCCAGGCAGGGGAGCCA